rnacentral:lncRNA from 1 species
UUCUAGAUUCGGAUUUGUAGUCCCGAAACCACUGUUCUAAUUUGACUGAAAACAGGCUGUUACAAGAUGCCAUGUGUCCCCGAUGUGGUGGAGUAGUAGGGUCCCUGUAUCAUGUUUUCAGAGAAUGUCAUAUAUCAAUAGAAGUUUGGAAUUAUUUAAAUCUAAACUAGAUUCUUUCUAAUCUAGAUCUGAAUGACAGAGAUUGGUUUACUUGGGUUUUUCGAAUGAAUUUCAGUGACCAGUGCAGAUUACUUUGUUGUGCCAUUUGGGGAAUCUGGACAAACAGAAAUCUGGUUCUGCAUGAGGGGAGUCAGAUUAAAGGAAAAGAAAUAGCAGACUGGAUAACAAGAUAUACUGGAAAGAUUGACAAUUUAGAAGAUAAUAAGUUUACAAGAUCUAUUGUUAUUGAGGAAUGGCGUCCCCCAUUGGGUACUGAUGUCAAAGUUAUUUUUGAUGCUGCUUAUAAUCAAAUUUUGGCGAGAUCUAGAUCUGGAGUGGUUGUUCGUAACUCUUGAGGUGAGAUUUUGGCUUCGAAACAAACACUACACAAGGAGAUCACUUCGCCAUUUGUAACUGAAGGAUAUGCUUGUCUUCAGGCAUUGCUUUUGGGAAACCAUUUGGGCCUCUCACCAGUUACCAUAGAAGGAGAUGCAAGAACCAUUAUUAAAAAAAGUCAGUCGGGUAUUGUAACAGCCUAAUUUUUAGUGGUGUUGGAAACAGUGAUUCGAGAUCACUAAAUCUGACUAGUGAGUCUUAAAAUUUAAAAAAUUAAUAAUUAUGGGUCAAGUGUGAAUUUAGAAUAAUUUUUUAAUUAGUGAAUUUUGUGAUUUAGUGAAUUUUGCGAUUUAAAAAGAAUUUAAUAGGUAAAUUGGGUAUAAAACGAGGUUUCGAGACCUCAAAUUCAUAAGCCAAGCCAUAAAUAUUUUUAUAAAUGUUUAUGGAGUGUCAUUGAGUUAGUAUAAAAGUUUCGUUAGAAAAUUUUAACGUUUGGAUAGUCAAUUAAUUAAAAAGGACUAAAUUGAAAAUAGUGCAAAAUUUGUUAAAUUGUGAUUAAAUAGCUUAAGUGACUAAUAAGGAGGGAUUUAAAAGGCAAUUAGGCCCAAAUUAUAUGGGCUGGACGGUUGGGCAAGAAAAAUCAGCAAGAAAGUAAGGAGAAACAAGGGCAAAAUUGGAAAUUUUACAAAUUAAAUAUAUAAAAGAAAGAUAAAAGUGAAAAAUCUAGAGAUCUCUUCAUAAUUUAUCAGUAAAAACUCCAUAGGAGGUCUGAAACAUUCUGGUUUCUCAUAUUUUUAUACCAUGUGAGUUCAAUUCUUGCUUUUUCUUUGAAAUUUUUAUGUUUUGUAACUUUUAGAACUAGGUCCAACUAUUGAAUUCAUUAGUUUUUGAUUCCAUGGGUGAUUUUGUAAGUUACUAUGAGUAAUUUAUGGAAUUUUAUGAUUAAUUAAUAUAUAUUUGAAGUUUUAAUUUCAUUAUAUUAUGAUUUUAUUAAGUGAUUUUAGCAUAAAAUGAUUUUUAGGACCUAAUUGUGAAAGAGUUAGGAAUUGGGGUUUUGUACUGAAAUUAUGAAUAUCAAAGGCUGUAUAGUAGUCUAAAAUGGUUGGAUAAGGUGUUAAUUGAGAAAAAUUAGAUCAAUUGAAGGGUUAAUUGAGUAGGGACCAAAUUGUAAAAAUUGUAAAUUUUGGGGGUAAAAGUGAAAUUUCUAAAAUUGAAAGGCAUAAAUUGUGAAGUUAGUAUUGAAUUAAAUGCUAAUGAAUGGAAAAAUUUAUAUUAUAGAUCGGGAAUCUAAAGAUAAAUGCGGAAAAGAGAAAGUAUCGAACUAGUUUCUGAGCUUUUGCAACUUCUACGAAUUGGCCCAGGUAAGUUCAUAUGGCUGAAAUUUUAUAAUUAAUUGUUAAUGUGGGAAUGAUAUAAUGUAUCAAUUCGUAUAUUGUUGUUGAAUUAUGAUUAUGGUAAAAAUGAGAAUAAGAUAAGAUUAGUUCAAAUUAAGGGAAACGCAGGAUUGAGUACAUACGUUCGGUAACCAGUGAUGAAUUGACGGAUAAGUCCAUGGUGAAUCCAUGACAAAGUGUGAAACGUAGGUAUGGUAUUUCAGUGAAGAAAACCAUACUGAGUUGUGAAAAGUAGGUAUGGUAUUUCAAUAAAGAAAACCAUACUGAGUUGUGAAAAGUAAGUAUGGUAUUUCGAUAAAGAAAACCAUACUGAGUUGUGAAAAGUAGAUAUGGUGUUUCAGUGAAGAAAGCCAUACUGAGUUGUGAAAAGUAGGUAUGGUAUUUCCAUGAAGAAAACCAUACUGAAUUAUAGCAAUGUGAAAUAUUCAAGCAAAUCGUGGCACUGGGCAAACGAUGUACUCAAUUCCGUAAGACGAUCAUUAAUUUGAUAGGUAUUUGUAAGUGCAAUUGAAGCUAAAUGCCGGAACAGAAGUUGACAUCUGAUAUUGAGAUCGAUUGGAUAGAUUCAUUGUUUGAGAUUGUGGUUGGCAGGAAAUGUUGAAUUUUUAUUUGUUUAUUAAUGUUGUUAGUGAAAUUUUGGUAAGAUUUUAUUAUGAGCCUAUGAACUUACUAAGCUUUCUACAAGCUUACUUGUGUGUGUUUCUUGUUUCUUGUAGAUUGAUAUAUAUAUGUUCGGAGGAUCGGAUCUACAUCAACGAUCACACUAUCCAGAUUUACUCCGGUAGAUUUUGUUAAACAACCUUUUGAUUUAUAUGGCAUGUAUAAGGAGUUGGUCUGUUUGUGUGUAUUCUUAUGUUUUGUCUAAGAAGUAGCAAGUAAAUAUUCGAUAAUGAUUAGCUAUUGAAUUGGCUAUAUAAGAAUGUGUUUUGGUAUUGUGUAUGCUUAAAUGAUAGUUAAUGCAAAGAAAUUAUAAAAGAGUAAAAUUUUGCAAUGGAACAAUUUUUGAACAGCAGCAUUGAUGUGAAUUUGAAAAAUCACUAAAAAUUGUGGAAAUUGAAUUAGAAGUUGAGUGAGAUAUGAAAUUAAAUAUGAAUGAGUGUAUUUUCACAUGAAAGAAAUAGAGUAAGUAAAAGAGUUGUAUGUUUUUAGAUAUUUCAAUUUUAGUGAGACAGGGUCAAAAUAGUUUUUGAAAUCCCCUGUUUUAACUUUAGAAAAUAAUUAAAAAUUGUACAGAAAGAAUUGAGAGUUAUAAUUUAUAUUUCUAGAUUCCUUAGUGAGUCCAUUUUCAAUAUAAACAAAUUAUAAUGUUAUCCAAAUUCUUUACAAUGAGAUAAUUAAUUUUUUAGUGAAGAGGGUCAGAGCUGUCGAAUAGUGAAACAGGGGAGACUUUAAAGAAUAAACUGUACUAAUUGGCUAAACCAAAAAUUGUGAAAAUUUUAUGGUAAGAAGAUAUAUGAGUCUAGUUUUAGGGAAAAUUUACGGAUCUAAAUUUUUAUUUUUUUUAACUUGAGUUAUAAUUAAAUUAGCGACUAUUGUGCAGGUGGACAGUUUUAUUGUGAAUAAUGAAAUGAAUUGUUUUAAUUUGUUUUAGUAUUUGAAAAAAUUAUUAAUGUUCCCAGUUUGGACUCAAACUGUUUUUAUUGCAUGAUUUAGGGUCUCGAGAUUCUUUUUUAGGGUCAUAUUGAAUGAACGUGAGUGAAUUAAUUUAUUUGUAAAAGUAAAUUUUUAUGCUCCGAACUAGUAAGUUAAGUUAGGUAAUGCCUCGUGCUUGACUCCAGCAACGGUCUCGGGUAAGGGGUGUUAUAGGUAUUCGAGAUAAAUCAAUGAUAGGGGCGAUUAUUUGGGACAUACAACAGUUGAAAAGGAGUUUUCAUAGUAUUCAGUUCAAACAUAUACCCAGAUCUACUAAUACCCUAGCACAUAGUGUAGCCACGAAUUGCUUAAAGAAUGGAGGAGAGAGUUACCUGAUUGGAAGUGUGUCAAUGGUUGUCGAUGAUGG